rnacentral:rRNA from 1 species
UGGGGAAUAUUGGGGCAAUGGGGCGAAAGCCUGACCCAGCAACGCCGCGUGAAGGAAGAAGGUCUUCGGAUUGUAAACUUUGUCUUAUGGGACGAUAAUGACGGUACCAUAGGAGGAAGCCACGACUAACUACGUGCCAGCAGUCGCGGUAAUACGUAGGUGGCGAGCGUUAUCCGGAAUUAUUGGGUGUAAAGGGUGCGUAGGCGGGACGUAAAGUCAGAUGUGAAAUGCGGAGGCUCAACCUCCGAACUGCAUUUGAAACUUACGUUCUUGAGUGGAGUAGAGGCAAGC